UGUCCCACAAUCAGCCCCAGGAGGAGACGCCAGCAGAGGAAAUAAACAAUAUUAACCAAAACAAUGUAAGUAAAACCUCUCAUUUACACAGAAAGACACUGAUCACAUGUUUAAUGUAUAAAUAGACGUCAUGUUUUACUAACGCCUGUAAAAUGUCGGAGAGGAACGCCAACAUCCACUGAUGGAGGAGAAGAAAGAUGGAGGACGGGAGCACCAGCAUCUACCAAUGGAGGAGAAUAAAUACUUUUAUUAACUAAAACAAUAAUCCACUGAUGGAGAACAAGGAAGAUGGAAGACUACCAUCAUCUACCAGUGGAGGAGGAGGAGGAGAAAAAUGGGGGAGCACCAGCAUCCAAAAGUGUCCAAUAAUCAGCCCCAGGAGGAGAUAUCAGCAGAGGAAAGAAAGACUAACAACCAAAACAAUAGGAACGCCAACAUCCACUGAUGGAGGAGGAGAAGAAAGAUGGAAGAGUACAUCAUCUACCAAUGGAGGAGCAGGAGUCAAAAUGGUGGAGCACCAGCAUCCAAAAGUGUCCCACAAUCAGCCCCAGGAGGAGAUAUCAGCAGAGGAAAGAAAGACUAUUAACUAAAACAAUGUAAGUAAAACCUCUCAUUGACACAGAAAGACACUGGACACAUUUAUUGUAAAAAUUGACUUUCUAAUAAUGCUUGUAAAAUGUUGGACUUGAACACCAGAAUCCACUGAUGGAGAACAAGGAAGAUGGAAGACUACCAUCAUCUACCAAUGGAGGAGGAGGAGGAGAAAAAUGCGGGAGCACCAGCAUCCAAAAGUGUCCCAUAAUCAGCCACAGGAGGAGAUAUCAGCAGAGGAAAGAAAGACUAAUAACCAAAACAAUAGGAACGCCAACAUCCACUGAUGGAGGAGGAGAAGAAAGAUGGAGGGAGUACAUCAUCGACCAAUGGAGGAGCAGGAGAAAAAUGGGGGAGCACCAGCAUCCAAAAGUGUCCCAUAAUCAGCCCCAGGAGGAGAUAUCAGCAGAGGAAAGAAAGACUAAUAACCAAAACAAUGUAAGUAAAACCUCUCAUUUACACAGACAGACACUGAUCACAUGUUUAAUGUAUAAAUAG
ensembl:lncRNA